UUAUCCAAAGCUAGUGCUCCUUUUCAAUCCAAUCUCCAUCCACCACGAAGAAGAUGACACCCCCAGGGGCGGAUCUAGGGCCCGGGCUGCCCAGGCUGUAGCGCGGGGCGAGCCCAUGUAGCCCCUUUAACAUAUGUGGUGUUUAACUAAAAAACUAUGAUCUCAAUUAGAGAAAAGGAGGCUCAGGAGGCGUGAAUCAACAACUUAACCCGGGGCGCAGCCUCGUUCUGGAUCCGUCCCUGGACACCCCGAUCAAUGAUCCUCGAGUUAGAUUACUCCAUGGCCAAUGAUCCUCGAGUUAGAUUACUCCAUGGUAAUCGAACUUGGAAUCUCGGAGAUCUUCG
rnacentral:lncRNA from 1 species